rnacentral:rRNA from 1 species
CCUACGGGAGGCUGCAGUGAGGAAUAUUGGUCAAUGGGCGGAAGCCUGAACCAGCCAAGUAGCGUGCAGGAUGACGGCCCUACGGGUUGUAAACUGCUUUUAUACGGGAAUAACGCGCCUUACGUGUAGGGCUUUGCAUGUACCGUAUGAAUAAGGACCGGCUAAUUCCGUGCCAGCAGCCGCGGUAAUACGGAAGGUUCGGGCGUUAUCCGGAUUUAUUGGGUUUAAAGGGAGCGUAGGCCGCAUGUCAAGCGUGCUGUGAAAUUUCGGGGCUCAACCCGGGCCUUGCAGCGCGAACUGGCGUGCUUGAGUCCGCGGAAAGCAGGCGGAAUUCGUGGUGUAGCGGUGAAAUGCUUAGAUAUGACGAAGAACCCCGAUUGCGAAGGCAGCUUGCUGCAGCGGAACUGACGCUGAUGCUCGAAAGCGCGGGUAUCGAACAGGAUUAGAUACCCUUGUAGUC